AUCCAGUUGACAAGUCUCAAAUAGGACGAAACGCGCGUCAUACUGGUU
rnacentral:hammerhead_ribozyme from 1 species